rnacentral:rRNA from 2 species
CUAAAUGCGGAAGAGAUAAGUGCUGAAAGCAUCUAAGCACGAAACUUGCCCCGAGAUGAGUUCUCCCUGAGACUUUAGGUCUCCUGAAGGAACGUUGAAGACGACGACGUUGAUAGGCCGGGUGUGUAAGCGCAGCGAUGCGUUGAGCUAACCGGUACUAAUGAACCGUGAGGCUUAACCUUACAACGCCGAAG